rnacentral:rRNA from 1 species
UACGUAGGCAGCAAGCGUUGUUCGGAGUUACUGGGCGUAAAGGGAGCGUAGGCGGGUUUUUAAGUUAGGUGUUUAAUCCCGGGGCCCAACCCCGGACCGGCACUUAAAACUGGGAAUCUUGAAUAGUGGAGAGGUCGGUGGAAUUGGAGGUGUAGCGGUGGAAUGCGUAGAGAUCUCCAAGAACACCAGUUGCGAAGGCGGCCGACUGGACACAUAUUGACGCUGAGGCUCGAAAGCAUGGGGAGCAAACAGG